rnacentral:rRNA from 1 species
GUGAGGAAUUUUCCGCAAUGGGCGAAAGCCUGACGGAGCAAUGCCGCGUGAAGGAUGAAGGCCUAUGGGUUGUAAACUUCUUUUCUCAGAAAAGAAUUAUGACGGUAUCUGAGGAAUAAGCAUCGGCUAACUCUGUGCCAGCAGCCGCGGUAAGACAGAGGAUGCAAGCGUUAUCCGGCAUGAUUGGGCGUAAAGCGUCUGUAGGUUGUUUAAAAAGUAUUCUGUCAAAGAUUAGGGCUUAACCCUAGAUAGGCAGAAUAAACUUUUAAGAUAGAGUUUGGUAGAGGCAGAGGGAAUUCCCGGUGGAGCGGUGAAAUGCGUAGCUAUCGGGAGGAACACCAAAGGCGAAGGCACUCUGCUGGGCCAAUACUAACACUGAGAGACGAAAGCGAGGGGAGCAAAUGGGAUUAGAAACCCUGGUAGUCC